rfam:Salmo salar isolate Sally breed double haploid chromosome ssa18, whole genome shotgun sequence.
UCCCGUUUGGCUCAGUUGGUAGAGCAUGGUGUUUGCAAUGCCAGGGUUGUGGGUUCGAUUCCCACGGGGGAC